CGGCGGACGGGUGAGUAACACGUGGAUAACCUACCUAUAAGACUGGGAUAACUUCGGGAAACCGGAGCUAAUACCGGAUAAUAUAUUGAACCGCAUGGUUCAAUAGUGAAAGACGGUUUUGCUGUCACUUGUAGAUGGAUCCGCGCCGCAUUAGCUAGUUGGUAAGGUAACGGCUUACCAAGGCGACGAUGCGUAGCCGAACUGAGAGGGUGAUCGGCCACACUGGAACUGAGACACGGUCCAG
rnacentral:rRNA from 1 species